UACGGGGGGGGCAAGCGUUGUUCGGAAUUACUGGGCGUAAAGGGCUCGUAGGCGGCCAACUAAGUCAUACGUGAAAUCCCUCGGCUUAACCGGGGAACUGCGUCUGAUACUGGAUGGCUUGAGUUCGGGAGAGGGAUGCGGAAUUCCAGGUGUAGCGGUGAAAUGCGUAGAUAUCAGGAGGAACACCGGUGGCGAAGGCGGAUCUCUGGGCCUUACCUGACGCUGAGGCGCGAAAGCUAGGGGAGCAAACAGG
rnacentral:rRNA from 1 species